GCCAUUGUAAUACAAGGAGCGGU
rnacentral:siRNA from 1 species